rnacentral:rRNA from 1 species
UAACGCGUGAGAAUCUGCCUUCAGGUCGGGGAUAACGACUGGAAACGGUCGCUAAUACCGGAUGUGCCGAGAGGUGAAAGCUUAAUGUGCCUGAAGAUGAGCUCGCGUCCGAUUAGCUAGUUGGUGGGGUAAGAGCCUACCAAGGCGGUGAUCGGUAGCUGGUUUGAGAGGAUGAUCAGCCACACUGGGACUGAGACACGGCCCAGACUCCUACGGGAGGCAGCAGUGGGGAAUUUUCCGCAAUGGGCGCAAGCCUGACGGAGCAAUACCGCGUGCGGGAGGAAGGCUUUUGGGUCGUAAACCGCUUUUAUUGGGGAAGAAGAUCUGACGGUACCCAAUGAAUCAGCAUCGGCUAACUCCGUGCCAGCAGCCGCGGUAAUACGGAGGAUGCAAGCGUUAUCCGGAAUUAUUGGGCGUAAAGCGUCCGCAGGUGGCUGGUCAAGUCUGCUGUUAAAGCGUAGAGCUUAACUCUAUAUCGGCAGUGGAAACUGGACAGCUAGAGUACGGUAGGGGUAGC